UUCUUGCAUUCUGACUUAAUUAGCUCUAUAGAGAGGUUGCCUCUAAAUAUAUUUUUCUUUCUAAUGUAACGGUAGCUUUAAAUGCAGAAUGCAGAAUCUGUCUUAUUAAAAACCACCUGUUGGGUUGAUAGCCAAAGGAGAGGCACAGGAGAAUUGUAACUAAUCCCAGGCCACUCAACAAUUUAGGAAAAGAAUCAUGGCAAAGACCCAUGUGGUGAUUUCCAGUCUAAUUUCUGUCUAUGCUGCUGUAACAUAUAACUUUUAAGUACGGUCAAUCCUCAUUAUACAUGGAUUCUGUAUUUGUGAGUUCUCUCCUAAAAUUUAUUUUAACCCUUGCAGAGAAAAACACCCAUGGAGAAUUGUUCCUGCUGAAAAUGUGUUUAUAAAUAAGAGAUGAAGAAGGAAUCACACUUCCAAGAAGAGACAGUUGGAAGACACAUAAAUAAUACAAUUUAUAUUGCAAUAAUAAGUUACAAUAGGAAAAAUCUAAUAGGAACUUAAGUAUAAUUAAAGUAUUCAAAAGAAACAAUAAAUAAUAUAUUAUAUAAAAUAAUAUUGGUAAAACCACAUUAAAAUAUAAAAAACUUUCUCAUAUUAAAAAAUACAUUAGUCUUCAGAUUAAAAAAUAAUAUUUCACAGAAUCAUGAAAAACAAAUCUAUACAUAGUCACUAU
rnacentral:lncRNA from 1 species